CAAAGGCUUGGUCCUGACUUUACUAUCAACUUUAACUAAACUUAUACAUGCAAGUCUCCGCCUCCCGGUGAGAAUGCCCACAGUCCCCUGCUUGGGGAUUAGGAGCUGGUAUCAGGCACAAAUCUUUUAAGCCCAUGACGCCUUGCUUAGCCACACCCCCAAGGGUACUCAGCAGUGAUAAAUAUUAAGCCAUGAGUGAAAACUUGACUUAAUUAUAGUUAAGAGGGCCGGUAAAACUCGUGCCAGCCACCGCGGUUAUACGAGAGGCCCAAGUUGACAGACAACGGCGUAAAGGGUGGUUAGGGAUUACAAUAAACUAAAGCUAAACAACCUCAAAUCUGUUAUAAGUACUCGAGAGUUUGAAACCCAACUACGAAAGUGGCUUUAAUUAACCUGAACCCACGAAAGCUAAGAAACAAACUGGGAUUAGAUACCCCACUAUGCUUAGCCCUAAACAUCGAUUUAAUACCCCAUCAAAUCCGCCUGGGGACUACGAACGUAUGUUUAAAACCCCAAGGACUUGGCGGUGCUUUAUAUCCACCUAGAGGAGCCUGUUCUAGAACCGAUGAUCCCCGUUAAACCUCACCUUCUCUUGCAAUAUCCGCCUAUAUACCACCGUCGUCAGCUUACCCUGUGAAGGGACGACAGUAAGCACAAUUGGUACAACCCAAAACGUCAGGUCGAGGUGUAGCGAAUGAGAGGGGAAGAUAAUGGGCUACAUUUGNUAGCAUAGCAAAUACGGACGAUGCAUUGAAACAUGCAACUGA
rnacentral:rRNA from 1 species